rnacentral:misc_RNA from 1 species
AUUUCUUCUAACCAUGCCUUUCUAUAAAUUCAAGAGCGUAUAUUACAAUUCAACAAGAUAGAUAAUUAGCAGAGACAAAUUUCAGUUUUGAAUUCAAAUUGUGAUUUUCAACUAUAAUUAAGUCUACUGAUUGAACAAUUUUUGUUACAUUUUGUUGCAAAAUCAAAGGCUUCUUUCCUAUUUUGUUACAUUUUAAUGCUUCAUUCAGCAUGUUGUUUUCUAGUCUAGUGACAGGUCCAGCAAAUUUUUAGUGAUACUUCGUCUUCAAAUGGAAGAGAUCACUUAUUAUGAUUUUUGCAGGCAAGGCGUUUCUGCCAUGGAA